rnacentral:rRNA from 1 species
AGCUAGUUGGUGAGGUAAUGGCUCACCAAGGCAACGAUCGGUAGCUGGUCUGAGAGGAUGAUCAGCCACACUGGUACUUAGACACGGACCAGACUCCUACGGGAGGCAGCAGUGGGGAAUAUUGCGCAAUGGACGAAAGUCUGACGCAGCAACGCCGCGUGGGUGAAGAAGGCCUUCGGGUCGUAAAGCCCUGUCAGGUGGGAAGAAACCUGCGUAAGCAGCUGACGGUACCACCAAAGGAAGCACCGGCUAACUCCGUGCCAGCAGCCGCGGUAAUACGGAGGGUGCAAGCGUUGUUCGGAAUCACUGGGCGUAAAGGGCGCGUAGGCGGCCGAUCAAGUCUGAUGUGAAAGCCCGGGGCUCAACCCCGGAAGUGCAUUGGAAACUGGUCGGCUUGAGUUCGGGAGAGGAGGGCAGAAUUCCCGGUGUAGGGGUGAAAUCCGUAGAGAUCGGGAGGAAAACCAGUGGCGAAGGCGGCCCUCUGGAACGAAACUGACGUUGAGGCGCGAAAGCGUGGGGAGCAAACAGGAUUAGAGACCCUGGUAGUCCACGCUGUAAACGAUGGAUGCUAGGUGUAGG